UGGAGGUAGUGGACAUAAAUCACAAUGCGGGACUAUCAGUCUUGCAAUUGGAUUGAGAACAAUGUACAACUCUUAUCGAUAAGCCAUUGGAGGGCAAGUCUGGUGCCAGCAGCCGCGGUAAUUCCAGCUCCAAUAGCGUAUAUUAACGUUGUUGCAGUUAAAAAGCUCGUAGUUGAAGUGUGGGUGGUGCUGUCUGAAUGACUUCGGUUAGUCAGAUGAUCACUACCCCCUUCCAGUAUCCAGUAGUGGGUAUUCAGUUACUUACUAUUGUGUGUUGGUCGUUUACUGUGAGAAAAUUAGAGUGUUCAAAGCAGGCGUUUGCUUGAAUAGAUUAGCAUGGAAUAAUAAUUGAAGGCUUUCGUGUUCGAUUUGAUUGGUUUGUUCAUGGAAGCAAGGUUAAAAGGAACAGUUGGGGGUAUUCAUAUUCACUAGUUAGAGGUGAAAUUCUCGGAUUUAUGGAAGAUGAACA
rnacentral:rRNA from 1 species